ACACGAUGGAUGUCGAUUUUUGWCACCGGCCAGGUUGAGACCCUGCUUCGACGGGGUCUCCGUUUCCAGCUGCUGAUUCCUCCGCCCRGCCGCGUGCUCCUCCGCGGGGGGCUUUGCAGAGCCGCGAGCUGAGCCCUCGUCCUUGCAGAGCAGGAGCUGAGCAGGCAGAAACAGAGGAUUUACAAAUCUUUUUUYUGUCCUUCCUCUGCUAUCUAAACUGAAACGCAGCACUUCAUCAGCGUAUAACCCGGGCGCUGCGAGAUCCAAGAGGCAGUGAGGCAACGAGCAUCGCCGCACACAGCAUCUCCUGCGCAAUAUUUGCCAAGGGCUUGGGAGCGUUAACGAGGGAGSGGAGGGCUUUCGAAGGGCCGUCGUGCUGGAGAUCUCAGCAUCUCCGUCAGCAUCACAGCCCGUGYUUCACAGGCCAAGGAGAAGAUGAGGGAGAUGAAAUGACCGGAGCAAGGUUGCAUGGUAAGUCAGUGGUGGAAAGCAGAAGCCAAGCAUCCCAUCUGAAUCCCGUCUCUGCUUGGCAAAUACCUCCAAGCCUGAGAAGCUUCUUUAUCUCUGAGCUAUAAAUCUGUGUCAGGUGCCUGCUWUUCUUUGCAGGAAAGGCAGCACAGAGCAUCCACCGGGAAGGAACCCACGGGGCCUGCAGGGUUGCCCAGAUAUCCCAACUAUGUUAACUCUAAGCGGGUAAG
rnacentral:lncRNA from 1 species